rnacentral:tRNA from 1 species
CUGGAAGCAGCAGGACACUUUAGAUGAGCACCCACACUUAUCGGUUGUUGGAAGGCAAGUCCGCUGACGACUAUGGUAGAUAACCGUGGUUCCAAGUGACCGACUUAGUCUAUAGCUCAGUUAGUUAGAACACCGUCUUGAUAAGGCGGGGGUCGUUGGUUCGAGACCAACCAGACCCACCAAUGUCGUCAAACCAAGACGCAUCCAAUAUCUUUCGGCAUUUGGGGGUGUAGCUCAGCCGGGAGAGCGGCUGCUUUGCAAGCAGUAGGUAGCGGGUUCGAGUCCUGUCACCUCCACCAAUCUUUUAUCCAGCAAAGAUUCUUAUCAAGGUUUUGUAAUCAUCAACACCAAAGCUGCUUUUUAAGAGGCGAUUUUGGUGUUGAUUGAGGCAACUCAAUCAACAGGCUGUUCUUUAACAAUUUAUAGAGUUUAAUCAGCGUUGCUAGCGGAAAGCACACAUUCGUAAAGGUUUAGUGUGCACCGUGCCGCUAGCGACAAAUUUUGAUUGCGUCAAAAUGAAUAUCAGACUUCACGUUUGAAAUUCAGUAUAUUCAAGUUAAAUUGAAUACGGCAUAACGCGUCAGGUGAAAGACCUGACAAACAUUCCUUGAUAAAACGAUGGUAUUUCGAAAGAGUCCGCAAGGAUCUCAUGUUGAGAUGUCAAAGUUAUAG